AGAAAUAAGAGAAAAAAAUCACAUCCUGCACAUUGCUUAGGUAGAUUGGUGUGGAUGUCUAUAUUUAUAACAUUAUCAAAAGAGUUAUUUAUUUUGGAUGAUAAGUAAGGCUCUUAUCUAAUGUGGUUCACAAUAAUAUAACAUUAACAAAAAGCUUAUUAGAUUAUUAAAAUAUAUUAAAUAAAAAACUUUUCAUUGGUACCAUGUACAGUCAUCCAAUGGUCAUAUUAGGUAAAUAUUUUUUUAAUUUUUGAAGUAUAUAUAUUUUGUGAAGAUGAGAGGGCACACGCGGAUGGUUGUGAUAUAGGUCAGCGCUGAGGUGUGG
rnacentral:lncRNA from 1 species